GAUGCUGUCGUGUAAUGACGACUCGUCUCAAAUGCAUGAGUGUACCCUGCGUCUGCAGCGUAUUCGGUGUGAUAAGCAUCUUCACCGGAGUUGUGCCUUCUGGCGCGCGCUUGCAAAUGUUGGGCUCUGCGCUUCAAACCGUCUUCGGACACCUCUGACAAUUUGACCUCAAAUCGGGUGGGACUACCCGCUGAACUUAA
rnacentral:misc_RNA from 1 species